rnacentral:rRNA from 1 species
GACGAACGCUGGCGGCGUGCCUAAUACAUGCAAGUCGAGCGGACGAAUCGAAAGCUUGCUUUUGAUUCGUUAGCGGCGGACGGGUGAGUAACACGUGGGCAACCUGCCCUGUAGACGGGGAUAACACCGAGAAAUCGGUGCUAAUACCGGAUAACACGAAAUGUCGCAUGACGUUUCGUUGAAAGACGGCGCAAGCUGCCGCUACAGGAUGGGCCCGCGGCGCAUUAGCUAGUUGGUGAGGUAACGGCUCACCAAGGCGACGAUACGUAGCCGACCUGAGAGGGUGAUCGGCCACACUGGGACUGAGACACGGCCCAGACUCCUACGGGAGGCAGCAGUAGGGAAUCUUCCGCAAUGGACGAAAGUCUGACGGAGCAACGCCGCGUGAGCGAAGAAGGCCUUCGGGUCGUAAAGCUCUGUUGUUAGGGAAGAACAAGUAACGCAGUAACUGGCGUUACCGUGACGGUACCUAACGAGAAAGUCACGGCUAACUACGUG